rnacentral:rRNA from 1 species
AUUGAACGCUGGCGGCAGGCCUAACACAUGCAAGUCGAGCGGAGCGGCGGACGGGUGAGUAAUGCCUAGGAAUCUGCCUGGUAGUGGGGGAUAACGUCCGGAAACGGGCGCUAAUACCGCAUACUAUCAGCUGAGCCUAGGUCGGAUUAGCUAGUUGGGGGGGUAAAGGCCUACCAAGGCGACGAUCCGUAACUGGUCUGAGAGGAUGAUCAGUCAAACUGGAAAUUGGACACGGUCCAGACGCCUACGGGAGGCAGCAGUGGGGAAUAUUGGACAAUGGGCGAAAGUCUGACGGAGCAACGCCGCGUGAGUGAUGACGGCCUUCGGGUUUUAAAGCUCUGUUAAUCGGGACGCGGUACCGGAAUAGAAAGCCACGGCUAACUACGUGCCAGCAGCCGCGGUAAUAC